rnacentral:rRNA from 1 species
AAACCAGCACCUCAAGUGGUCAGGAUGAUUAUUGGGCCUAAAGCAUCCGUAGCCGGCUCUGUAAGUUUUCGGUUAAAUCUAUAUGCUCAACAUAUAGGCUGCCGGGAAUACUGCAGAGCUAGGGAGUGGGAGAGGUAGACGGUACUCGGUAGGAAGGGGUAAAAUCCUUUGAUCUAUCGAUGACCACCUGUGGCGAAGGCGGUCUACUAGAACACGUCCGACGGUGAGGGAUGAAAGCUGCGGGAGCAAACCGGAUUAGAAACCCCGGUAGUCC